GACCCCAGGUCAGGCGGGACUACCCGCUGAGUUUAAGCAUAUCAA
rnacentral:rRNA from 1 species